AUGGGUGGAUCUUAAUCUCAAAUAUCCCCAAGUCUGGAAAAACUGACCUUCUUCAUUUCCCCUUCAGAGCUGGCUUUCUUUGAAGUGUCAGAUUUGAAGCUGGAUGAUCAGGAGGCAGAGAAAACAUCACUGGUUCCUGAGUGGGACCAGGAUGGAAUGUGGGAAUCAAGAACAGAGAAGAAACUCAGGAAAACUCGCCACCAUGGCCGGAAAAAGGUAAUCUCGCACCAUAAAAAGAGGAGACAGUUUCUCAAAAUGUUGUAUGAAACAAUGGAAGAAGUGAAGAGCUGUGAAGAACUUGUUUCAAAUAUGCUACAUGCUCUGAAAUGACCACUGCUUGUAGAAGAUCAGCCACUGGAAGUAUUCGUGGUUUUUCUUUCCUUGACUCAAGAUUUCAGAGAGUGCAACACUGUGAAUACGUGUUACUUUUGUCUACCUCGACCUGGGCUUCCUUGUCACCAGCGCCAUUAGAGGUCUGACGGCCGCAUCGAAAUUUGAGAAAUGAUGUUUUAAAGGCAACUGCAAUUGUGAGAGGUGGAGAGUCCAAUGAACAUACGGUGUUGUUGUAAGAGGUUGUACCAAAAGGUGUCUUGAUGUUCAAUGAUUAUUGUAUCUGUAAAUAAAAUGUAUUAUUUUGAUG